GAGGAGCCCGCGCACGAUUAGCUAGUUGGUAGGGUAAUGGCCUACCAAGGCUUUGAUCGUUAGCUGGUCUGAGAGGAUGGCCAGCCACACUGGAACUGAGACACGGUCCAGACUCCUACGGGAGGCAGCAGUGGGGAAUCUUGCACAAUGGGCGAAAGCCUGAUGCAGCGACGCCGCGUGGGGGAUGAAGCAUUUCGGUGUGUAAACCCCUUUCGAUCCGGACGAAUACCUCGCAAGAGGGGUGACGGUACGGAUAUAAGAAGCCCCGGCUAACUACGUGCCAGCAGCCGCGGUAAGACGUAGGGGGCCAGCGUUGUUCGGAAUUACUGGGUGUAAAGGGUUCGUAGGCGGUGUGGCAAGUUGGGAGUGAAAUCUCUGGGCUCAACCCAGAGGCUGCUUCCAAAACUGCUGUGCUUGAGUGUGAGAGAGGCGCGUGGAAUUGCAGGUGUAGCGGUGAAAUGCGUAGAUAUCUGCAGG
rnacentral:rRNA from 1 species